rnacentral:lncRNA from 1 species
CAUCCCAAUAGCAAUCACUAAGUUAAAGUGUACUAAAAAAUAUUUAAAAAACGCUUUUGUCCACAGUGUCAAACUGAGUCCUGAAACACACUCGCUGCCAAUCAGUAGAAAGGGGCGUAUCUAGUAAUGAUAAGGAGAAGAGAGCGCUCAGUGAGUGCACAGGACAGAUAUUAGCAGAUCGACUAUAGCAAGAGAUUUUUUUAAAAAGAGGAAAAUCUCGGAAGAACAAAACAUUAAAAUGAUCAGACAAGAGGUUGGACUUGUGUAAAUAUUGGAGCAGUUUCCAGUGGUGAAGAAACUGGUGAAGGAGCGGGAAGGCCUGGGACUGAACACUGAGGUAGCUUUGUUUCUCCUUGAUAGAAGCUGUUAUUCCUGUGAUACAGUUGGAGUUCCCACCUGUUUUAUUGCUAAACGGCUGCUAGAGAGCACAACAGUAAUUCCCUCUGAACGUCCUGCUGUGCACUGA